rnacentral:rRNA from 1 species
AUGGAUCAAGCGAUCAAGGGCACAGGGUGGAUGUCUAGGCACGGACUGGCGAUGAAGGACGUGGCAAGCUGCGAUAAGCCGGGGGUAGCUGCAAGCAAGCGUUAAUCCCCGGAUUUCCGAAUGGGGAAACCCGGCCGGGGUGAUGCCCGGUCAUCCCUUUGCUGAAUACAUAGGCGUUGGGAAGCGAACCGAGGGAACUGAAACAUCUAAGUACCUCGAGGAAGAGAAAACAACCGUGAUUCCCUCAGUAGCGGCGAGCGAACGGGGAAGAGCCCAAACCAUGGAGGUGUCAAGGCGGCAGCCGUUGCUUCCAUGGGGUAGCAGGGUGGUUCGUGAGAGUCUGCCGGCUCUCGGAGCGUCGCGCGACGGUGAGUCGAAUCCGUCUGGAAAGCCAAGCCAUAGAGGGUGACAGCCCCGUAGGCGAAGCCGACGUCGCGAUCUCUGGAUCAUUCCUGAGUAGGUCGGGACACGUGAAAUCCCGAUUGAAUCCGGCAGGACCACCUGCCAAGGCUAAAUACACGUCCGUGACCGAUAGCGAACGAGUACCGUGAGGGAAAGAUGAAAAGUACGCCGGGAGGCGGGUGAAACAGAUCCUGAAACCGUGUGCCUACAAGCGGUGGGAGCUCGACCCUCUCUUCGUGAGAGACGUCGGGUGACCGCGUGCCUUUUGCAUUAUGAUCCGGCGAGUUGUUCCUCAGUAGCGAGGUUAAGCCGUUCAGCGGCGGAGCCGAAGCGAAAGCGAGUCUUAACUGGGCGUAAAGUUGCUGGGGACAGACCCGAAACCAGAGUGAUCUAUCCAUGGCCAGGUUGAAGCGAGGGUAAUGCUUCGUGGAGGACCGAACCGUUGUGGGUUGAAAACUGCUCGGAUGAGCUGUGGAUAGGGGUGAAAGGCCAAUCAAACCUGGAGAUAGCUGGUUCUCCCCGAAAGAUAUUUAGGUAUCGCCUCUGAGUGUAGACUGCGGGAGGUAGAGCACUGGAAGGGCUAGGGCCCUAAACCGGGUACCAACCCCUACUAAACUCCGAAUGCCCGUUAGUUGGUCUCAGGGAGGAAGUGCACGUGCGAUAAUGUUCGUGCGCGAGAGGGAAAGAGCCCAGACCUUCAGCUAAGGUCCCCAAGUGCUAGCUAAGUGACAAAGGUGGUGGAUUUGCGGAGACAACUGGGAGGUUGGCUUAGAAGCAGCCAUCCUUGAAAGAGUGCGUAAUAGCUCACCAGUCAAGCGGAUCUGCGCCGAUAAUGGUCGGGACUCAAGUUAGCCACCGAAGCUAAGGCUGCGCGCAUCUGCGCGCGGGGUAGGGGAGCGUUGCCUGAGCUGUGAAGCGGGGCCGGAAGGCUACCCGUGGAGCGCAGGCAAGUGAGAAUGCCGGAAUGAGUACGCGAGAAACAAGGUGAGAACCCUUGUCGCCGUAAGCCCAAGGUUUCCUGAGCCAUGCCAAUCAGCUCAGGGUUAGUCGGCCCCUAAGGUGAGGCCGAAAGGCGUAGCCGAUGGAAAACGGGUCAACAUUCCCGUACCACACGAUACUGCGCUUGAGUUCGCGGAGGGACGCAGAGGUGAAAGGUCCGUCGUUUCAAUGGACAUGAACGAUGUAAGGAGGUAGGCGUUUCCGGGUAGGCAAAUCCGCCUGGUGAAGCCGAGAUCCGAUGCCGAAGAAGUCUUCGGACUUCGCUAAGGGACCGUAAUCGUACUGCCAAGAAAAGCUUCGUGAACGAGGAGUACGUGUGACCGUACCGCAAACCGACACAGGUGGGCGAGGCGAGUAGCCUCAGGCGCUCGAGUGAGUCUUGGUUAAGGAACUCGGCAAAAUGUCCCCGUAACUUAGGGAGAAGGGGAGCCGGCGGUAGGUGAUCCUGCCUCGCGCAGGGGAGCCGAAAUCGGCCGCAGAGAAUCGGCCCAAGCGACUGUUUAGUAAAAACACAGGUGUCUGCAAAGUCGUCAAGACGACGUAUAGGCAAUGACNNNNNNNNNNUAGCGAAAUUCCUUGUCGGGUAAGUUCCGACCUGCACGAAUGGCGUAACGACUUGGGCACUGUCUCAACCAAGAGCUCGGCGAAAUUGGAGUCUCGGUGAGGAUACCGAGUACCCGCGGCAGGACAAAAAGACCCCGUGCACCUUUACUAUAACCUGAUAUUGGGUUCGGGCACCGUCUGUGUAGGAUAGGUGGGAGGCAUUGAAGCAGGGCCGCCAGGUUCUGUGGAGCCACUGGUGAAAUACCACCCUUGCGAUGUCUGGAUUCUAACCUGGGGCCGUGAAUCCGGUCUGGGAACAGUGUCAGGCGGGUAGUUUGACUGGGGCGGUCGCCUCCCAAAAGGUAACGGAGGCGCGCAAAGGUUCCCUCAGCGCGGUCGGCAAUCGCGCGAAGAGUGCAAAGGCAUAAGGGAGCUUGACUGCGAGACCGACGGGUCGAGCAGGAACGAAAGUUGGCCUUAGUGAUCCGGCGGUUCCGAAUGGAAGGGCCGUCGCUCAACGGAUAAAAGGUACGCCGGGGAUAACAGGCUUAUCGCCCCCGAUAGUUCACAUAGACGGGGCGGUUUGGCACCUCGAUGUCGGCUCAUCGCAUCCUGGGGCCGGAGAAGGUCCCAAGGGUCGGGCUGUUCGCCCGUUAAAGCGGUACGCGAGCUGGGUUUAGAACGUCGUGAGACAGUUCGGUCUGUAUCCGCCGUGGGCGUUGGAGAUUUGAGAAGAGCCGCUCCUAGUACGAGAGGACCGGAGUGGAGUGACCGCUGGUGUACCUGUUGUCCCGCCAGGGGCAUCGCAGGGUAGCUAUGUCGCGAAGGGAUAACCGCUGAAAGCAUCUAAGUGGGAAGCCUACUUCAAGAUGAGAUCUCCCGCACCGCAAAGGUGCCUGAAGGAUCGCAGGAGACGACUGCGUAGAUAGGCGGCAGGUGUAAGGCGUGCGAGCGUCUCAGCCGAGCCGUACUAAUCAUCCGUGAGGCUUGAUCCAUAUCUUCC